rnacentral:rRNA from 1 species
UAAUACAACUUUCAACAACGGAUCUCUUGGCUCUCGCAUCGAUGAAGAACGCAGCGAAAUGCGAUAAGUAAUGUGAAUUGCAGAAUUCAGUGAAUCAUCGAAUCUUUGAACGCACCUUGCGCUCCUUGGUAUUCCGAGGAGCAUGCCUGUUUGAGUGUCA